rnacentral:lncRNA from 1 species
GUGGCUUUUGCCUGAGGUCCUUAGACCGACACGGCGGUUUAGAUUGGGUACUUUUGGACUUCUCGUCCGGUUGACGCAUAUAGCUAUAGUAGCGGUUGUUGCAUAUAUACUUCUAGUUCUUUCUUUACAGUUGUCUUGCUACUAUAGUUUUGAUAUCCUUGUAUGCUUGCAGUUGUACAUUACAGUAGCGGUAGUUGUGUUUUCAUAUAUAUAUAUCUCGUUCGUUCAUUAUCGUUGCUACUGUAUUUUACUUACCCAUACUGUUGGUUAUCUCUUCCUGAUCCGGUGAGUACUCCUCGCCUUCUUCGGCUUGCGGUACCCACUGGGAGGGGAGACAUGUUUACAUGUUCUCACCUCCCCCACCAUUUUUCAGGUAUCGCGGGCGAUGAGUAGUGGGACGAGACGUGAGGUACGUGUGUAGCGGUCGAUAGAGCUUCCGACCCAGGUUAUUUCGAUUUAGUUAUUAUCCUCGGUAUUUCUGUUGAUAUAUAGUUUAGUUGGUUUAUGUGGUUCAGUAAUCAUUUACAUUUGAAAAGGUGGAUUUCUGGAUUUUGUAAAAUAAAAGAUUUUCUACCCCUCGUGGUAGCGUUUUUAAAAGAAUAAAGGUUUCUGUGUAGGAAACAGCUUUCAAAAGGUUUUUGUGGAUUUCUGUUUAAACCUCGAAUGUAAAACUGUGAUGUGAAUGGGGAAUGUAUGAAUGUAUAGCUAUCUGUAUAUUCAUUUGAUUGUGGUUGUAUACUGUUUGUACUUUUGUACUUGUGUGACGCCGUGCAAGUACAGGGGAGACUCUGUCCGUGUGAAUAGUGGAUUCCCUGUAUUUGUGGCGGAUCUGGCAUACUCUGGGGUCAGGUUUUCAAAAAAAAAAAAAUUUCAAACGCUUUUCCGCUGUAUUUCAAACAAAAAGGGAACCCCGGGGCGUGACAUUAGUUGUCAACUAUGAUUGGAGAAAUAAUUUGGGAAAAACUCACUCGUGCCACGCCUGCAGAGGAUUGUCGUUGAUGAUGAUGAUGACACUGAUGAUGAUAAUGAUAAUGAAAUAUUGUUGGUGGAAAUGAAUUGAAAAAAAAAGGAGUACAAAAUAAAGAGUAAAAAAAUUAGAAAAAAGUAAUGAGUAAAAGAGACGGCUAGGGUUUCAUUAGGAUGAAAAUACAUAGUGACUCAUCAUCUAUAAGUCAUAUUAAAAUUGAUCCUUCAACUUCAAAAGUUUAUUUUUUUUAUAUACUAUCGGAUAUUUCAUCGGGUCCGGAUCCGGAUCCAGAUUUGAAAACUAUUCCGGACCCUACCCAUUUAAAAGUUAGGUUCGGGUCGGGUCCAAAUCGGGUAUGGAUAUAAAAUAUCCGGACCCAUACCCGAAACUUUAAUGGAUAAUUUUUUUUAUUCGUAUACUAUUCAUUUUUUAUUGGGUCCGGUUCGGGUCCGGGUAAGGUCCGGAUCGGGUAUGGGAUAUCCGAUA